rnacentral:lncRNA from 1 species
CUGGGACGAAGGCAGGAACUCCGGAUGGCUAAAGAAAAUCCUGUAGCAUUCUACUAAGAAAACAACCUUCUGAACAAUUUAGUACAUUAUAUCAAGGUUUUUUUGCAUUUGAAAUAAGCAUUAAUAGUGCUCAUUACUCAUCAGCUUCCAGGUGUGGGAGAACCAUUGUAGCUUAGUUAUUGGCAUUGAAAAUGACCAAACAUCAGGGACACCAGUAGCAUCUUCUGCUGGCUGUAGUGCCUGGGCAACCCCAGAUGGCCCUGGGGAGUGUCCCUGACUCAAACUGCUACUGGGCACAGGGAACAAGAGCCUGCGAGACUGUGCCUCCAGGUCAGGUCUAGAUUUGGGCUCGCGGCAGUGGAAGAGCCAGCUCCCCGGCCAGGAGGCGGGGAAGGGCCAGUCGCCGCCACCUCUUGGAAAAUCCUUGCUGCGCUGUGAGAGGCUUGCACACUCGGCAGCCGCCUCUCCGCUUCACGCACCCUCCGGUAACGAAAAGUAUUUAGUAAUAGCCUUUUGCUGCAACUUUUUUCCUGAUAAUCCUUCUUCUUCUGAACUUUCUGUUUCUUUCUGACUAGAGUUCCUGGGCUUCUAUCAACACAUGCCCUAACUAUUCUUGGUUCCACUGGGGUGCCUUCUUCCCUUAGUAAUUUACUUAACACCCCUUCCAUAUUUUCGUCAUAAAGACAAUACAAUACACUGAGACAAAACAAGACACAAACAUACUGUAUCAAUCUUUUCCAUUUUCUUGAAAUGGUCAUUUUUCCUCUCGCCCUAUCUGUCUAGGGAUCGAGCAGAUUUGCUCCCGUCCUAUCUAUGGACGGGCAGCUUUUUUUCG